CAGUCGCCGCGGUAAUACGGAGGGUGCAAGCGUUAAUCGGAAUUACUGGGCGUAAAGCGCACGCAGGCGGUUUGUUAAGACAGAUGUGAAAUCCCCGAGCUUAACUUGGGAACUGCAUUUGAAACUGGCAAGCUAGAGUCUUGUAGAGGGGGGUAGAAUUCCAGGUGUAGCGGUGAAAUGCGUAGAGAUCUGGAGGAAUACCGGUGGCGAAGGCGGCCCCCUGGACAAAGACUGACGCUCAGGUGCGAAAGCGUGGGGAGCAAACAGGAUUAGAUACCCCUGUAGUCCCUGUCUCUUAUAC
rnacentral:rRNA from 1 species